rnacentral:rRNA from 1 species
CCUACGGGAGGCAGCAGUGAGGAAUAUUGGUCAAUGGCCGGAAGGCUGAACCAGCCAAGCCGCGUGAAGGACGAAGGUGCCAAGCAUUGUAAACUUCUUUUGUCAAGGGACAAAAUCAGGCUCGAGAGCCUGACCGAGGGUACUUGAAGAAAAAGCAUCGGCUAACUCCGUGCCAGCAGCCGCGGUAAUACGGAGGAUGCGAGCGUUAUCCGGAUUUAUUGGGUUUAAAGGGUGCGUAGGCGGGCUGUUAAGUCAGCGGGAAAAGCCCGGGGCUCAACCUCGGCGUGCCGUUGAAACUGGCUGUCUUGAGAUGUCGAGAGGUAUGCGGAAUGCGCAGUGUAGCGGUGAAAUGCUUAGAUAUUGCGCAGAACUCCGAUUGCGAAGGCAGCAUACCGGCGGCGAUCUGACGCUGAGGCACGAAAGCGUGGGUAUCGAACAGGAUUAGAUACCCUUGUAGUC